GGGCAGACAUUUCAUGUGUGUUCCCCUUUGAUUUAUGGCUUGUUUACAUUUAAUUUCCAGGGGCAGUUGCUUGCGGCACAAUUUGGCUGUUGAACUGCUCCAUGAGAUUACGCACAAGGUUGAGUUGUGCGACAAGUGCAGCCACGUCUGCAAAUAGAUUUUCGGAUGACUCAUACGCAGUCGAUUCGACUGCGUCCAGCUGCGCGUCCAGCAGUUGCAUUUGCGUGCACAUUUCCUCAGCUAAUUUAUCGAUUGGAUCUACUUCGACUUCUACGAUUUUAAUGGCCAUUUUAGAGUUGAUAAUUUCGAAAAUACUUUUACUCUCGAUGACAAUUUCGGAAUAGGAGAUGACAUUUAACUGGGUACGCCUGCU
rnacentral:lncRNA from 1 species